UACAGAGACUGCAAGCGUUAUUCGGAUUCACUGGGCGUAAAGGGUGCGCAGGCGGCCAAGUGUGUGAGGCGUGAAAGCCCGGGGCUUAACCCCGGAAUUGCACCUCAAACUACAUGGCUAGAGCAUUGGAGAGGGUAGCGGAAUUCACGGUGUAGCAGUGAAAUGCGUAGAUAUCAAGCGGAACACCAGUGGCGAAGGCGAGUCCCUGGACAACACCUGACACUGAGGCACGAAAGCGAGGGGAGCAAACAGG
rnacentral:rRNA from 1 species